UUCAGUUGUAGCUUUGGUUUCAUUUGUAUUGUUUUUCUGUUUGGUUACAGCAAUUUGUCUUUGCUUUGCUUGCUAUGAUUAACUUUUGAAACAUUGACAUAGAUUUUUACAUUGGUUAGGAUAUUAUGCCUGGACAGCGUGUUGAUUGUUUUUCCUUUUCAUGCUUUUCGAGGAGCUACCUGCCAUCAGUAUCUCUAAUACAUGUUUUUUUUUUUUCUUUCGUACUUAAGAAUUACAUGUUUUGUUUAAUAAUUUGUCAUUUUUUGUACUAUUUAGUUUUUUAAAGAAUUUUAAUUUGUUUGGUUUUUUUUUUUAUUUCACUUUAAAUGCACCAAAUGAUUUUUGAGUGCCACCGAAAGGUGUUGGUUCUAAUGAAUAUUAUUGUUCCCUUCCUGACAAGCAUGAGGCUUACUACCCACACAUACACACACAUACUUUAAGAAUCUUCUUGGUAGCACUAUAAAUUAUGUUUUUUUGUAUGUUAUUGCUUUUUUUUUCUUUUUACUAUUAAUUUCAAAAUCUGGACUUCAUGGGAGACCAGUACAUGUAUUGAAUGAGCUUUCAAUGAUAAAGGAAGAAAAGAUAUAUGAGAAGAAUAAUUUAAUACUUAAAAUUUGUUUAAUAUUAAGGUAAAACUGAUGUUACUUUACAAGUGUGGGAUAUUGGUGGCCAGACACUAGGAGGCAAGAUGUUGGAUAACUAUAUUUAUGGAGCCCAUAACCUACAUAGCAGCUUUGCAAACCAGGGAGGAGAUCUUGAGAACUCUUUGUGGUUCUCUCUUGCCAAAAAAGACUGGGUAGCUGAAAAAAAUCUUGUCAAGUCUACAUUCGAAUACGCUACGAACAUAAUUGAAAUGGCUCUGUACAUGGCAAAAAGUAAUAUGAAAGAGUUUUUUACACUGCUGAAAUAAUGUGCGAUCCGGGAACAAUUGCUGGGAAAUUACCAAAACCAGACAAAAAUCAGUUCGUGUCCAAUUUACUCAGCCGAUUCAACAGAAAUUAAAUACUGUAUAGCCAUACAGUAACAUGACCAUGUUACACUUUUUUUUUUAUAAGAGCCAUUCAAAUUAUGCCCAGGCUCACUGUUAUUAUUUUUGCUGAUUCCAGCAUUGCUCUAUUUCCAUUUACAGAAAAUUGUUAUUGUACAGCAGUAUAUUACUGUGCUAUAAACGUUAUAAGAUCGUUAUCGUUGAAGUAUAAACAGGCCUUUAUCCUCAACCUGGGCUUCAAUAUUUGAAAAAGCUUUUGGUUUGUACCUGAUUGUACUUUAAACAUUUCUUAUGAGGUAGUUCUUGUUAUCUUGCAUAGUAAAAUACCUACUACAUGUCUUGAGACAUGUUUCCAAACUACAUCUUCCACGUUGUAUUAACAAAUUCUACCCACUUAUUAAAUGUUUCUAUAUCUUUUUUGGAAAGAGAACAAAAGAUAGUUUCUGGUGACUAAAUUGCAUUCUGAUGUGUUGAAUUUGUGUAGAAAAAAAUCAUGGAAAAUAAUUUUAUAUAACCAAUUAUGUUAUUUACUAAGAUAAUUCAUAUAUAAGGGUUUUUUUAAAUGAUAAUACUGUUAGUGCAAUAAACAAGCAAUUACUAUUAAUCAUUUUUUAAACAAGUUAAAUUGGAUAACAAUUAUAUUUAUUAUUACAUGUACUAAUCUUUACAUUUAAUGAUAAUAAAGCAUGCUUUAGCAUGAAUACUGCAAUCAUAAUCUAACUGUAAA
rnacentral:lncRNA from 1 species